AUGGCUCAGGAUGAACGCUGGCGGCACGCUUAACACAUGCAAGUCGAGCGGAGCAACUACUUCGGUAGUAGCUUAGCGGCGGACGGGUGAGUAACACGUGGGUAACCUACCCCAUACAGGGGGAUAACGUAUAGAAAUGUACGCUAAUACCGCAUAAGCCAACAGGGAGGCAUCUUCUGGUUGGAAAAGCGCUAGGUGGUAUGGGAUGGGCCCGCGACUGAUUAGCUGGUUGGUGAGGUAAGGGCCCACCAAGGCGACGAUCAGUAGCCGGUCUGAGAGGAUGGACGGCCACAUUGGGACUGAGACACGGCCCAGACUCCUACGGGAGGCAGCAGUGGGGAAUAUUGCACAAUGGGGGGAACCCUGAUGCAAGCGAUGCCGCGUGAAGGAAGAAGUAUUUCGGUAUGUAAACUUCUAUCAGCAGGGAAGAAGAAAGACAGUACCUGAGUAAGCAGCCCCGGCUAACUACGUGCCAGCCGCCGC
rnacentral:rRNA from 1 species